AGGUGGUUUUCUUUUCGUGAGGAUCGUAGCUUUGUCGCGACUGUGACAUGACAUUUGGGAGCAUUCAUGGCUGCUCAAUGGGAUGUUUGGCUGUUAUUAGACUAUCAUGAAAUGGUAUUCCAUAAUCUGUUGAUACUGUGACCUCUAAGUAAGGAGGAGGAACCUUUUUAAUCUCUUGAAGAACUUGAGGUCCAGACUAACGGAAACCUACUUCCGGAUGACGAUGACUUCCUCUCUUGGAUUGAUAACCUUGAUGAUAUCGCCAAGCCCUGUAUUAACACGAAUUAGAAGAGUUUGAUCUGUUUAGCAGCAGUGGAGGAAUAUAACUCGAGGUGGGGGAUUAAAGGAAUGCAGAAUUUGUAGAACAAGGACUGAAUGCAGCAGCUGUUGGGGAGCACCCGUUAGGUAAACAUCCUUUUAGAACACUUUUCGCGAGAAAUAUCAAUAACAUUAUCAAAGAAUUGGAAUUGGAGGCACUUUUUGAGCACCGUGGCUUCAUUAUGAUCUCUUACUUACUAUGAAGGAUCAUACACACCUCAAUUUCAUCAACCUUGGCACACACUUCUCAAUUUCGAAGGAUCCGACUAAUCUGCUUGGGUUUCCGUUAUUGUUACUUCACUGGGAUUCACUAAUGUUAUUAACUCAACUGAGAUGCUAAGCAUUUUCAUUCCUUCUAUAAUAACCAAGUAACAUCACUUACAGUUGAUUGAUAUUGAAUGUAAGAUUGUAACGAAAACAUUGGAAGAGUUAAAAACGUAAAGCAGUCAGGUAUGGCGUAUGGGACCAAGAAACAAUUAAAAAAAACCGUCAAGUUUAUUAUAGUACCAUGUAAGAUUCCAUGUAGUCCCCAAUUGUUUACCCACCGGUCCAGGUAACAUCCUACAGAAUUUCAAGGGUUUCUUUUCCUCUUGACUGGUAGAUUUCAGUUAUUAAAAGGGUUAUCUGUUGUGAUGACGCGUUGAAGAAACCUCAACCGGAGCAUGGCUGCUUACGCGGAUAUUACCAGUUUACCGGAAAUGUACCAAAUCGAGAUCCGGAUAUGAAAGGAAGUGCUUUGUCUAACAUGUUAUGUUUUCCCGUUGUGUACGUGGGAGACUGUCAGGUUUAUUAUCAUGUACUCACAUAUUAGCUUUGUUUCAGAUAAUUUAUGUUACUCCCUCCGUUACUUAUUAAUAGGCCAG